rnacentral:lncRNA from 1 species
AUGAAAUGUUCAAAGCUUUAUGGAAACAGCAUUUUGCAAGACCAUUUGGUGCAGCAAGGUAAGCUGUCAUCAGUUGGAGGUAAGCGGAAGACAGUAGAGAGUACAGAGCCCUGGACUGUGACUCAGAGGAUGAGCACCAGAUCCAGUUUGCUGUGCCACAGUGGUAAGUCACCUAACCUUUAUGUGCUUGGAUUCCUCAUAUGUAAUACAGGAUCACAACUAUUGUUCUCACUCAUGCAAUACUACUAUUGUGAGAACCUCAUGAAUUAG